rnacentral:tRNA from 1 species
GGGGCUGGGGCUCAGUGGUAGAGCGCUCGCCUAGCAUGUGAGAGGCCCUGGGUUUGACCUCAGUACCA